ACUUAAGUAUAAUUGACCGCUGUCAAGGUAAACAAAGGAUUUUUUGCCUCUAAUGGCGUCUUUGGUACCGCUCAAGAAGUUACCGGACAAGAAGUCCGGUAACUUGUCAACCCCAGCGUCUUCGGUUGCUAAGCGACGAAAUCUGCCGAUCUAGGCUACGUAGGCCUACGUAACUACGUCCAUUUAGCCGCUAUCAGUUAACGCGCAUUUUGAAGUGAAGCUGGAUGAUUUUUCGCUAGCUUACUUUCAUUUCUAGUUCAUCAUCAUGGAUAUUCGUAAGUGGUUGAAAAGUCAGAUAAUUUCCUGGACCCAUCAAAGGUAACCGUAACAACUCUCCUGCUAUUAGCUGGAACUGAUGUGGCUGAAUCUGAAUAUACUGUGGCUUGUGAGUUCCUGGUUAAGAAAAUGAAUGACACCCCGAAGACGGAAAAUGGACAAUAGCAAACAUCCUUAGCACAUUCAACUGUGCACUCCAGGCUAUGCCGACUGUUCUCACAGCCAACACCCUUGCCCUAACUUUAGGAGCUUCCACAGCAAUGUGUGAAAAGUCAUUUUCCAAGCUGAAAAACGUCUUCUCAGAGCAUCGGCGCACUAUGUUGCACAGACGCAAGGCCCAGCUGAUUCAGCUUGCUUUUGAAAAGGACCGGACUCACAAGUUUACAUCUGAGUGGAAGGAUAUGUUGAUGAGGAGGUUCAGCUCGGAGAAACGCUGCCUCCCGCUGAGGACAUGGAGGGAGGGAGGGAGGACAGCGCUGAAUCCACUCAAACUGAUAUAUCAGAGCCGACUCCUGAGAGCAGACAUAUCUGAGGCUGUCAGGGAGGAACCAUGGCUACCAUCUCUGAACCGGACCCUGGACCCUCUGAGGAACCUGGGGACGCGUCUUUGGACCGGAGGGAGCGCAGGAAGAGAAGAUUUGCUGGUAGAGCAAAGAAGAAGGCUAACUUCAGACGCCGUGGAAGCCGUCAGAGAGUAACAA